rnacentral:rRNA from 1 species
AUUGAACGCUGGCGGCAUGCCUUACACAUGCAAGUCGAACGGUAACAGGUCUUCGGAUGCUGACGAGUGGCGAACGGGUGAGUAAUACAUCGGAACGUGCCCGAUCGUGGGGGAUAACGAGGCGAAAGCUUUGCUAAUACCGCAUAAGAUCUACGGAUGAAAGCAGGGGACCGCAAGGCCUUGCGCGAACGGAGCGGCCGAUGGCAGAUUAGGUAGUUGGUGGGGUAAAGGCUUACCAAGCCUACGAUCGGUAGCUGGUCUGAGAGGACGACCAGCCACACUGGGACUGAGACACGGCCCAGACUCCUACGGGAGGCAGCAGUGGGGAAUUUUGGACAAUGGGCGCAAGCCUGAUCCAGCCAUGCCGCGUGCAGGAUGAAGGCCUUCGGGUUGUAAACUGCUUUUGUACGGAACGAAAAGCCUCUUUCUAAUAAAGAGGGGUCAUGACGGUACCGUAAGAAUAAGCACCGGCUAACUACGUGCCAGCCGCCGCCGUAAUAC